rnacentral:precursor_RNA from 1 species
GCGGCCGCGACGCGCUCAAGGACAGCGUGGACGCGGUCAAGU